UACGUAGGGGGCAAGCGUUGUCCGGAUUUAUUGGGCGUAAAGAGCGUGUAGGCGGCCAUACAGGUCCGUUGUGAAAACUGGAGGCUUAACCUCCAGACGUCGAUGGAAACCGUAUGGCUAGAGUCCGGAAGAGGAGAGUGGAAUUCCGUGGUGUAGCGGUGGAAUGCGCAGAUAUCGGGAAGAACACCCGUGGCGAAGGCGGCUCUCUGGGACGGUACUGACGCUGAGACGCGAAAGCGUGGGGAGCGAACAGG
rnacentral:rRNA from 1 species